AAUUCAAGUUACUCUAAUAUUACAUUAUUGAUACAAUAAAGUAUAUUCAUAGGUUGCUAGGUAGAAAAUAGGUUACUCUCUUCUUUUUGCAGAUGGUGAAACUGAGGCUCAGGGAUUCAAGAAAAUUGUGCAAUUUGACAUCAGAAAUCAGGGUGAAGACGCCUGAGGAAGAUGAUAACACUCAGGACCAGACAUGCAGUGACUAGAGCCCAGAUCUCUAGACCUGAAACCUUCAUGAUCCAGUACAGUCUUAC
rnacentral:lncRNA from 1 species